rnacentral:lncRNA from 1 species
CAAUCUUCUCAUUUCUUGAUAACAAUAUACAAAUUUAGCAAAACAAGAACACUAAUAACACUAUCAAUCUUCUCAUUUCUUGAUAACAAUAUACAAAAUUUAGCAACACAAGAACACUAACAACAUUAUCAAUCUCCUUAUUUCUUGAUAACAAUAUACAAAAUUUAGCAAAACAAGAACACUAAAAACACUAUCAAUCUUCUCAUUUCUUGAUAACAAUAUACAAAAUCUAGCAAAAC